CGGAGGCCGGAAGCCCGCCGUGACCCCGCUGACCCGGGGUGUUCUCGGUUCGUUCCGCACGUCGGGGAAACCGAAAGCGCCGACGAGGCGAGCUAUCAUGGAUGCACUAGUGGAAGAUGACAUCUGUAUUCUGAACCAUGAAAAGACUCAGAGGAGAGAUACCAUCACUCCUAUGUCAAUCUAUGCAGGAGAUGAGUCUAUGGCUUCCCACUUUGCCCUUGUCACAGCAUAUGAGGACAUCAAAAAGAGACUUAAGGAUUCAGAGAAGGAGAAUUCCCUCUUAAAGAAAAGAAUACGAUUUCUGGAAGAAAAGCUUCUUGAAAACCGAUUAGAUGAAGAAACAAGCUCUGUAGGACGAGAACAAGUAAACAAGGCCUAUCAUGCUUAUCGGGAGGUCUGCCUAGACAGAGAUAAUUUGAAAAGCAAAUUGGAUAAAAUGAAUAAAGAUAAUUCUGAAUCUUUAAAAGCAUUAAAUGAACAGCUACAGACUAAAGAAGUCGAGCUCCUCCAGCUCCGGACCGAGGUCGAGACUCAGCAAGUGAUGAGGAAUCUAAAUCGACCUUCAUCUAACUGGGAGGUAGAAAAGUUGAGCAAUGACUUGAAAAUCCAUGGUUUGGAACAGGAGCUGGAAGUGAUGAGAAAGGAAUGUACUAGUCUAAGAACAGAACUGCAAAAGUCGAAACACAAGGAUCAGUCUCAGGAAGACAAUCUCAACUUCUCAACAGACUUCCAAAGGCCAAGCAUUCCAAGUGAUAACAUGCAAUAUGCCUACUGGGAGCUCAAGAGAGAAAUGUCUAAUUUACAUCUUGUGACUCAAGUGCAAGCUGAACUACUAAGAAAGUUUAAAGCUCCAUCUACAAUCAAGAAAGCUUGUGCGCCAGUCCAGUGUGUUGAAGACCUAGUGAAGGACUGCACAAAAUUACAUUUGACGUCUUUAACUGCAACCUACAAAAGACAUGCUCCUCUUUCACCAAAUGGCAAAGCCCUCAGUAGUGCCAUGGGUUCUCCUCUGUCCGGAGAGACAAAGAUUUUACUGGAGAGAGCAAGUCUCCAGUCAUGGGCAGAUAAUGAGAGAGUCAUCCCUGGUGGUCGUACAAACUUUCAAGAACAAAAUUCCUAUGGCAGAAAUUCUUUAGAAGACAAUUCAUGGGUAUUCCCAAGCCCCCCAAAAUCUAGUGAGACAGCAUUUGGGGAAAAUAAAAGUAAAACGCCUUCCCCCAACCUACAUCACCUGGAUCGGCAUAAUCCAAACUGCCUUUACAAGAACUGAUCCAGAAGAGACUUGUGGUCCCCUUGGGAAGAGCUGUCUGGCAUCGGGCCGAUGCGCGAGAAACACACAUGAGGAACUGGCUCCAUUGUGGCAUGUGUUCUGUGACUGUCCUUGAUUUCAAGUACACACUGCUCUACAGUCAUGUGGUUAGGUUUGUUUCUUUCAGCAUAGACUAAAACAACUGUGCUAACCAACUCUAUUUUAGCCAAGUAUAGACACAUGCACUACUUCAUAAAUGACAGGAAUUCUCUUAGUGUUUUUAAAAGACAACUCUACCUUUGUUAACAGUUGCUGUAGAUUUAGGCAUCUCGGGCAAAGAAAAAUGAUAGGAACUAGUUUUUGAGCUUGAGUUCUGAAAACUAUUGACACAGGUUUUGUAAGAUGUCUAAAUCAUAAAUAUAUUCACUCCCAAGAAUAAUAGAAAGGUUGAUGGAGUUUUGGCGCAAAUCACGUAAAUUACAAAAAACAAACCAACAAACAAAUCUUACCUAGGGGAGCAAGCAACUAGUAAAACAUAUUUCAGUUCCCAUUGGUCUUUUUAUGAACACAUAUAGAUUGUGGAACUAUUGGGAUGGAAUAAUUAUUCUAUGAAUAGUCCAUUUCUGUAAACCAUUUCAGUUCAAAUUUUCAGAAUUAAAAUUGCUUUCUAGGCCCAGUGGUGUUUGUUACCAAAGUACUAGAAUGGUCACCAUUACUUUUGUGUGAUUUUAAUUCUGUUUACAAUCCAGACCACUCAGUCAUUGGAACUGGCCACGUUCAACAGCUCCCUGGAGCAUUCAAUUUAAAACGGUAAAUUGGACGAGACACUGGCUUGGAUAACAUUCUGAACUAUACAAAGAUGAAAUCAUACUGUUUGAUUUAAAUAAAUUAUUUUUAUUUGAA